rnacentral:rRNA from 1 species
UACGUAGGUCCCGAGCGUUGUCCGGAUUUAUUGGGCGUAAAGCGAGCGCAGGUGGUUUAUUAAGUCUGGUGUAAAAGGCAGUGGCUCAACCAUUGUAUGCAUUGGAAACUGGUAGACUUGAGUGCAGGAGAGGAGAGUGGAAUUCCAUGUGUAGCGGUGAAAUGCGUAGAUAUAUGGAGGAACACCGGUGGCGAAAGCGGCUCUCUGGUCUGUAACUGACACUGAGGCUCGAAAGCGUGGGUAGCAAACAGG